GUCUCUUUGUAAUUAGAAAUAUAAGGAGUCGAACCUGCCCGGUGACUAUAUUGUUAAACGGCCGCGGUACUCUAACCGUGCAAAGGUAGCAUAAUCAUUUGCCUUUUAAUUGGAGGCUGGUAUGAAUGGUUUGACGAGAGCUAUGCUGUCUCUUUUAGAAUAUUUAAAAAUUAACUUUUAGGUGAAGAGGCCUAAAUUUGUUUAAGGGACAAGAAGACCCUGUUGAGCUUUAGUAAAAUUAUAAGUGUAAUAGAACUUGUGUGGCUUGCUGUACUAGUUAUUAUGUAGUUGUUAUAAUAAUAGGCUUGUAAUUAAUCUUUAGUUGGGGCGACUGAGGAACAUGUAAAGCUUCCUUGUUUUACGUAUAUUAAUGUUAUGUUGUAAGUUUUAAAUGUUUUUGUAUUAUUUUGAUCCAAUUUGUUUUGAUUAAAAGAAAAAGUUACCACAGGGAUAACAGCGUAAUCUUUCUGGAGAGAUCUAAUCGAAAGAAGGGUUUGCGACCUCGAUGUUGGACUAAGAUAUCCUAAGGGUGCAGAAGCUCUUAAAGGUUGGUCUGUUCGACCAUUAAAAUCUU
rnacentral:rRNA from 1 species